rnacentral:misc_RNA from 1 species
UAAUUGGUAAAGUGUUUCUCAAUCUGAAUGUGCUUUUCAAGACACAACAUAUAAGACACAAGAAAACAUUUUAUCCUCAACAACGAGGUGAAAGACCCGUCAUAUUUUUAUUCGGCAAUACGAUGACCGAGAGGAAAAAUUGCUGAACACUAAUUGUCCGCCAAAGAUGGAAAAAAGACUUAGCGUCGGCUCAAUGAAUUAUUAGAAGAAACGUUCGAGAUUCUAGUUUGAGGACGGGGAUUGGAUUGCUGGAAGCACAAUGAGGAAGAGAGGACGACAUUCGGCCAAUUAGAGCAAAUUUUUCACAAGAUAGUCGAUCCAAUCAUCCGUCAACGUUUCGCCGGGCCGGCAGUGACGGAAGAAAAGAACAAUUACGUGAAAAUGAACAAAGAAAUCCGUUUAAAUAAUCCCGAGGCUAAAUCCGAAUAUGAAACGAUGACCAGCAAUGAAAAUCGACAAGUCGUUUCGCUUUGAAACGCUUCCACUUCGUCACAGUGCCCAAAUGCCCCCCGCAAAUUGUAUCCGCAGUUGAGUGUGACGAAUUACAUCGACGCCAGCACGGAAAUCGACACACUUCCACAGCCCCCGUUAUCUUUUCAAAAGAGCCUGGCAGACAACUCGACACAACAUUACCUAGACGUGUUACCUGACCCACAAGUUUGAAAAUUUCUUUCGCAUCCAUUCCCGCGGUUAUAUUGGUCGUGUUAUCACCAUUUAAGACUUAAGAGAAAAUGUUUCCCUGUUCGUAAUGCCGUGAAUCAAAACUUUUCGCUAAUCUUCAAUUUCUUCUGAUUACCAUGGCGACACAAGAGUUACCGUCAAAUCAAAUGUGUUCUUCCUCGGAUUUAUACUGUGCUAUCUACAUGCAGAAAUGCUGAAAAUGAAAUUGUGCAAAGCCAUAACGUCUGCCCCAUUUCCAACUUUUUGUUUUUUUCUUUGACUUGGGGAGAGAGAGGACAACAACAAAAUGAAAAUACAUAUCAAAGAUUAAUUUGACCACCUUAAAAAAACCUGGUGCCUGAGACAGUUAUCAUGAGUUGUUCUAUUUGUCUUCUACUCGACCACAUUAUCUUAUCUUAUUUUACGACGUUUUACGACUUUGUACCGUAAAAUCCCUUUCAUAAGCACAGGGUUAAUCAGCUGUUUUCAUGGCGUCAACGUUUAGUUUGUCCAUUUACUGCGUGCUAGUCAAACAUUCGUUGGAAGCAAGUCAUUCGAGCUAGUCGAAUCUCUUUCUGUCGUAUUUUAAAAGGACUACAAGUCAUAUUCUGCUAUCUUCAUGCAUGGCUGCUGAAAAUGAAAUUGUGCAAAUCAGCAUUAUGCCUGUCCCACAUGCAACUUUUUGCUUCUUCUUUAACUUUUUUUUUUGUAAUGAGUGGGGGGGGGGAUGCAAGUACACUCAAAGAUAAAUUUGACCACCUUAAACUAAAAUUGAAAAUCUGGUGCCUCAGACAGUUAUCACGAGUUGUUGUUAUACUAAUGUUAUAAUUUGACCUCGUUGUUUUAUCUUAUCUUAUUUUAUACGACCGUGUCGUCUAACAUCCUUUUCAAUAUGAAGUUAAGUUAGCUGUUUUUCUUGUUUCAAGUUUAGUUUGUCCGUUUACUGCGCACCAGUCGUACUUACUGGUGGAACAUUUGUCUUUAGUCGAACCUAAGAAUCAUUGAGCUGGCCGAAAGAUUUAAAAUCAUUCAAACACGGGUGAACAAGUACAUAGUUGCAAAAGAAAAUAUUGCAAAAGGUUGACACAACUUCUGGCGUCUUGCAUCUGGAAUAUCUAAUGGAAGCAUCCAUCUUUCUCCUGGAGAGAAGUUUCUGCUUCGCUACAAUUUGAAACAACGCUACAAAUACGGAAGUGACGUGAGAAAAAAAAAGUGAAGUUGCCAAAUUCCUCGUUUGAUGUGCUCGUUCAAGCAAACGGCUGCGUUCAACUUUUAGUACCGCGGUACAAUAAUUGCAAAGUUAGCACUAGAUGUCGUUCGGUUGCCUUUUUUUCGUGAAAAAUACAGCGGGACUUGGCCUUCGGCUGCUCUACCAGCAGGAGAAUAAAAACAAACUUGACAGUUGUAGUAAGACUUGGAAAGUCGUGGUUUAAAAUCAGAUUUUUAAUAUAAUUCUACAUACAUGCGAAACAUUAAUUGUGAACAGAAAUUCAGUUGAGAAUACACGACGGAUUAUUUCUUCAUCAAGAGAUUAUAAUUUUCGCACGGAAGUUGACAUGUUUGUCCGGCGGAGGGCUCCUGGAUCCCCACGUCGAGUGCGGAUUAAACUACAAAUAUUUCCCGAUGGACAAUGUCUUGAAGUUCAACCUGGUGGAGGAUCUCAUUCUCUGGCGUCAAGGAUAUAGUUCCCAUUUGGAAGAUGUCUUAAUUCGUGCUUUGAAGCCGGAGGAUAUGGAAAAGGUUGACGUCAUGAUUAUCGCCAUUUUGGGCUGUUUGUUUUCUCAGAACGCAACAGUGAUUCUCCAACACUUUCAGAAUUUUGAAGAAACAUUUGAAAAGUCCUCCGUCAUAUCGACAAUUCUGAGAACUGCAGCGAGAAAACACGGGCCCUAUCUGGACGUCGUUUCGUGCACGUCAAUUAUGAAAAAUUGGUUUUAUGCCAAUAAUAAGUUCGGUUACAUUUAAAAUGUCGUGCUCAUCAUGCGUUGUUAGGAAACAAGAUUAUUAUCAUUUUGCUAUUAUUACACAGAAAUGCCUAUGUUGAAACAAUUUGUUAUUUGCGAAUUUUUCGCGUAAUAUUCUGCCACCAAUUUUCAACAGUUGUAAGUUAGCUAAUGCACAAGCCAGCCUCCCUCCAAGAACGCUUGAAAUAUGGUUUUUAAAUUUGGUAAUCGCCAUGCGUGCAUAAUAAAUCAUUUCCCAUUUAAAUUUUGAUUGUUUUUCGUUCAUCCGACCUUGGCUUAAAUCGAUUCAGCGAACUAGGACCAUUAGUUAAUGUUACCUCAUCUGAGAAAUGUACACAUGACCUAGUCCGACGAGGGCUUCAUCCAUCACAGUUAUUCCGUAACGACCAGUAAUUCUGAUAUCCUGGAAAACAAUGGCUCAUCCAGUCACUAGUAUAAUGGGCCAUUAAAGAUCCU